GACAGAGGUGCCGAGCGUUAGGCGGAAUCACUGGGCUUAAAGCGCGUGUAGGUGGACGGGUAAGUAUCUUGUGAAAUCCCACGGCUCAACCGUGGAACUGCUGGAUAUACUGCUUGUCUUGAGGCACUUAGGGGCAGCUGGAACAAAUGGUGGAGCGGUGAAAUGCGUAGAUAUCAUUUGGAACGCCAAGGCGAAGCAGGCUGCUGGGAGUGAUCUGACACUGAGACGCGGAAAGCCAGGGGAGCAAACGGG
rnacentral:rRNA from 1 species